rnacentral:tRNA from 1 species
CCCGCCGUAGUUCAAUGGAUAGAACGGGCGCCUCCUAAGCGCCAGAUACAGGUUCGAUUCCUGUCGGAGGGGCCA